rnacentral:ncRNA from 2 species
AUGCGUGGCGGGGAUGGGGUCCCCCGUAUAACCGCCCUGUGGCUGAUGACUCCUGCCAGCGC